rnacentral:rRNA from 1 species
AUUGAACGCUGGCGGCGUGCUUAACACAUGCAAGUCGAUCGGUAACGCGGGGGCAACCCUGGCGACGAGAGGCGGACGGGUGAGGAACGCUUGGGAAUCUGCCUAUCAGCGGGGGACAACACGGGGAAACUCGUGCUAAUACCGCAUACGCUCUACGAAGGAAAGCCGGGGACCGCAAGGCCUGGCCCUGAUAGAUGAGCCCAAGCCGGAUUAGCGAGUUGGCGGGGUAACGGCCCACCAAGGCGACGAUCCGUAGCUGGUCUGAGAGGACGAUCAGCCACACUGGGACUGAGACACGGCCCAGACUCCUACGGGAGGCAGCAGUGGGGAAUAUUGGACAAUGGGGGAAACCCUGAUCCAGCGACGCCGCGUGGGUGAAGAAGGCCUGCGGGUUGUAAAGCCCUUUCGGUAGGGACGAAAGCUCUCGACCUAACACGUCGGGAGGUUGACUUAACCUACAAAAGAAGCACCGGCUAACUCUGUGUCAGCCGCCGCCGUAAAAC